rnacentral:tRNA from 7 species
GCAGAAGUGGCGGAAUGGCAGACGCGCUGUCUUCAGGCGGCAGUGUCUAACGACGUGUGGGUUCGACUCCCAUCUUCUGCA